rnacentral:tRNA from 1 species
AAGGGUUUAGCUUAAUUAAAGUAUCUGUUUUGCAUACAGAUGAUGUGGGUUUAUAGACUUGCAAUCCUUA